UCCUGGCUCAGGAUGAACGCUGGCGGCGUGCUUAACACAUGCAAGUCGAGCGAAGCACUUAUCAUUGACUCUUCGGAAGAUUUGAUAUUUGACUGAGCGGCGGACGGGUGAGUAACGCGUGGGUAACCUGCCUCAUACAGGGGAAUAACAGUUAGAAAUGGCUGCUAAUGCCGCAUAAGCGCACAGGAUCGCAUGGUCUGGUGUGAAAAACUGAGGUGGUAUGAGAUGGACCCGCGUCUGAUUAGGUAGUUGGUGGGGUAACGGCCUACCAAGCCGACGAUCAGUAGCCGGCCUGAGAGGGUGAACGGCCACAUUGGGACUGAGACACGGCCCAGACUCCUACGGGAGGCAGCAGUGGGGAAUAUUGCACAAUGGGGGAAACCCUGAUGCAGCGACGCCGCGUGAAGGAAGAAGUAUCUCGGUAUGUAAACUUCUAUCAGCAGGGAAGAAAAUGACGGUACCUGACUAAGAAGCCCCGGCUAACUACGUG
rnacentral:rRNA from 1 species